rnacentral:lncRNA from 1 species
UUAUUCUUCGAUAGGAAUGACUUUACUUUUAUAGUUAACAUAUUGUUUAUUGCUUGUGUACAAAUGUUCAACAAAUGAGCACCGCAAUGUUCAGAAAAUUUAUACCAAGUACCAUAGUUUGUGGAAAGUAAACAUUACCAUUCCUCACACGUAUGUCAUGCCCGUUGUUAACGUUAAUUAUCCAAUCGAAUCUUCAACAAAUAUAUGUCACGCAUUAUGCCACACGUACGAAUUUAUCUACAUUGACGCGUCAAAAGUGGUAGAUGCAACCGACGGAUACAGGAACGAUUCGUAAAACGCGAAUAAUUUCAACAAUGACAACAGGAUCUUCCGAGACGAUAGUGCAGGUAUUUUUGUGGCUUUACAGCACAAUGUUUUUAAGUAAUCUUGUAUAUUGUUUGGCAUUCAUAAAUAAUCAUUUUUCGCUGAAAAUCAACUAUAACAAGUUUGUAGAAAAUAGCUUUGCAAUUAUUCACUUAUAUAAGUCACAUUGUCAUCACGAGCUUUAAAAUAUCAUUCAACAACAAUAUAUACCACGCAUAUCAUUACCCCAUCCGCUGUAUAAUAAAACGACAUAGGAACUGUUCGUAAUUAAAGGCGUAGAUUUUCAAUGAUGUCAACACAAUACGCUUUUAUCUAAACGACUCACGAUCAGCGCUCACCAUCUUUUGACGCGCUCAUCAAUUUCCUUUCGACUUUACAGUACGACGUAUUCAAGUAACCAUGUUCAUUGAAUCAUUGUUCACUAUUACUUCAACAUAUACGAACUGCAACAAGCUAAUGGAAGAUACCAUUACCAUUAUUCCAGUAUAUCAGUUACAUGAUUAUGAUCAGAAAUUUUCAAAUCCACCUGCAUGCAUGAAUCACCAACAACCAUAUACGACAUUACCACGUAUUAUUCUCACAACUGUUGAAAUGGUAACAUAUACAGCUUGGUAAAAGAUUCGUAAAAUCCAACGGUUCGUAAAAUCCAACGUAUACUAACUUUCAACGAUGACAACACUGCAGCCUUUGUCCAAGUAAAUCACUCACAGUCUUUCGAGAUGGUCAUAAUAUUUCUUGUGGUUUUAUAGUACAAUGUUUUAAUUCCAUGUGUAUAUCCCAGUCUUGAAAGUUUAUUCGAACUUCGCGUUGAA